AGAAAGAGUCAUGUUUCAUAAAUUAGCUCAGAGUAGAACCACUGCUGUCAAGGCGGCAAGUCCAUGACUAGUCAUUUUAGCCUAAAAAGGUCAAUCAUUGACGAGUUAAUGCUUUGCAUGGUCGGUGGAAUGUUGAUUGAGGCUUAGGUGGGAUGCGCAAGUCAUAUCCUUUUUAUUGUUGCUUUCAU